rnacentral:rRNA from 1 species
GUUUGAUCAUGGCUCAGAACGAACGCUGGCGGCAGGCCUAAUACAUGCAAGUCGAACGCACCGCAAGGUGAGUGGCAGACGGGUGAGUAACGCGUGGGAACCUUCCCAGUGGUACGGAAUAACUCCGGGAAACCGGUGCUAAUACCGUAUAAGCCCCUUGGGGGAAAGAUUUAUCGCCAUUGGAUGGGCCCGCGUCGGAUUAGCUAGUUGGUGAGGUAAUGGCUCACAAAGGCUUCGAUCCGUAGCUGGUCUGAGAGGAUGAUCAGCCACACUGGGACUGAGACACGGCCCAGACUCCUACGGGAGGCAGCAGUAGGGAAUAUUGGACAAUGGGCGAAAGCCUGAUCCAGCCAUGCCGCGUGAGUGAAGAAGGCCUUAGGGUUGUAAAGCUCUUUUGGUGGGGAAGAUAAUGACGGUACCCACAGAAUAAGCUCCGGCUAACUUCGUGCCAGCAGCCGCGGUAAUACGAAGGGGGCUAGCGUUGUUCGGAAUCACUGGGCGUAAAGCGCACGCAGGCGGAUUGAUAAGUCGGGGGUGAAAUCCCGGGGCUCAACCUCGGAAUUGCCUUCGAUACUGUCUGUCUUGAGUCCGGGAGAGGUGAGUGGAAUUCCUAGUGUAGAGGUGAAAUUCGUAGAUAUUAGGAAGAACACCAGUGGCGAAGGCGGCUCACUGGCCCGGUACUGACGCUCAUGU